rnacentral:rRNA from 1 species
GUGUCAGCCGCCGCGGUAAUACGGAGGGGGCUAGCGUUGUUCGGAAUCACUGGGCGUAAAGCGCACGUAGGCGGCGUGUUUAGUCAGGGGUGAAAGGCCUGGGCUCAACCCGGGAACUGCCUUUGAUACUGGCACGCUUGAGUCCGAGAGGGGGUGGUGGAACUCCCAGUGUAGAGGUGAAAUUCGUAGAUAUUGGGAAGAACACCGGUGGCGAAGGCGACCACCUGGCUCGGGACUGACGCUGAGGUGCGAAAGCGUGGGGAGCAAACAGGAUUAGAUACCCUAGUAGUCC